rnacentral:rRNA from 1 species
AUUGAACGCUGGCGGCAUGCCUAACACAUGCAAGUCGAACGGUAACGCGGGGGCAACCCUGGCGACGAGUGGCGGACGGGUGAGUAAUACAUCGGAACGUGCCCAGUAGUGGGGGAUAGCCCGGCGAAAGCCGGAUUAAUACCGCAUACGACCUACGGGUGAAAGCGGGGGAUCGCAAGACCUCGCGCUAUUGGAGCGGCCGAUGUCAGAUUAGCUAGUUGGUGGGGUAAAAGCCUACCAAGGCGACGAUCUGUAGCUGGUCUGAGAGGACGACCAGCCACACUGGGACUGAGACACGGCCCAGACUCCUACGGGAGGCAGCAGUGGGGAAUUUUGGGACAAUGGGGGCAACCCUGAUCCAGCCAUGCCGCGUGCGGGAGAAGGCCU